GAUGAACGCUGGCUACAGGCUUAACACAUGCAAGUCGAGGGGAAACGACGGGGAAGCUUGCUUCCCCGGGCGUCGACCGGCGCACGGGUGAGUAACGCGUAUCCAACCUGCCUCUGACUGAGGGAUAACCCGUCGAAAGUCGGCCUAAUACCUCAUGGUAUCGUCUGCGGGCAUCCAACGACGAUUAAAGAUUUCAUCGGUCAGGGAUGGGGAUGCGUCUGAUUAGCUUGUUGGCGGGGUAACGGCCCACCAAGGCUACGAUCAGUAGGGGUUCUGAGAGGAAGGUCCCCCACAUUGGAACUGAGACACGGUCCAAACUCCUACGGGAGGCAGCAGUGAGGAAUAUUGGUCAAUGGGCGAGAGCCUGAACCAGCCAAGUAGCGUGCAGGAAGACGGCCCUAUGGGUUGUAAACUGCUUUUAUGCGGGGAUAAAGUGAGGGACGUGUCCCUCAUUGCAGGUACCGCAUGAAUAAGGACCGGCUAAUUCCGUGCCAGCAGCCGCGGUAAUACGGAAGGUCCUGGCGUUAUCCGGAUUUAUUGGGUUUAAAGGGAGCGUAGGCCGUGGAUUAAGCGUGUUGUGAAAUGCAGGUGCUCAACGUCUGCACUGCAGCGCGAACUGGUCCACUUGAGUGUGCGCAACGCAGGCGGAAUUCGUCGUGUAGCGGUGAAAUGCUUAGAUAUGACGAAAAACUCCGAUUGCGAAGGCAGCUUGCGGGAGCACAACUGACGCUGAAGCUCGAAAGUGCGGGUAUCGAACAGG
rnacentral:rRNA from 1 species